CUUUCAGCAAUUUUUCAGUUUAUCCAACUUCCUUCUUAUAGCUCUGUGUGCCCGUGCCUCUCCGUCCAACCUCUCUUCCUGCUCGCCGUCUCCGGCGAACACAACCCCAGCCAACGGUGGUUUUUCUUUUCUCUUCUUAUUAUUCUUUCGUCAAUGUGAAACAGCGCUUUAUCUCUCAAGACUUCAAAGCAACCUCGUUUCAAAAUUUCUCUCUCAACGGACGAAAUUAAAGAAAGAAUUUGAUGGAACCGAUACCACCAUAGACCAAAAAUGGACUCGAUUAUCACCUCAGCUCUCGAAGAAAUCUGCUUCCACGGCCAAGGAGGCAUUUCUCUUUCUUCUCUUUGCUCCAAACUCGACAUCCCUCCUCCUCUCAUAUCCCCCCUUUGGAAAAACCUCCUCUCCAUUCCCACUCUUCGUUUCAAGGCACGAAACGCCGAGUUUCUUAGCCCUAGCGAUGACUCGAUUCAAUGCGCCGAAGACGCCGAGAAAUUGGAAAUUAAAAUCUUAGCCGAUGAAAAGCUUAGAAAUAAUUUCGUUGGACUUUACGAUGAAAAUGUUCAAAUUUCCUCGCAGCAACGUCGCACUCUUGAGAGGCUUGCUAUAGCUAGAACAAAUGGAGUGACACAAAGUCAGCUUGCCAAGGAAUUUGGAAUUGAAGGGAAGAACUUCUUUUAUAUAUUGAAGAACCUUGAAUGCAGAGGGUUGAUUGUGAAGCAACCGGCAGUGGUUAGGAAGAAAGAACCUUGCACUGAAGGGGAGUCCAGAAACAGUUCACCUGUGACGACCAAUUUGAUAUACCUAUAUCGAUAUGCAAAGCGUUUGGGCUCUCAACAGAGAUUUGAGAUUAACAAAGAGGAACAAACUGUGGAGAAUCUUGGGUAUGAGGAUGAAAAUGUUCCAGAUGAAGAUGGUUUUGCUUUAGAAAAUGUUAAAGAGAAUAUUCUCGUGAAUGAUUAUCUACCAGCAAUGAAAGCAGUUUGUGAUAAACUUGAAGAAGCCAAUGGAAAGGUUCUUGUUGUCUCAGAUAUUAAACGGGACCUGGGUUAUACGAGAUCCUCAGGCCACAAAGCCUGGAGAAAUAUCUAUCGCAGGUUAAAAGAGGCUGGUCUCGUUGAGGAUUUGCAAGCUGUUGUGAACGAAAAGGUUGAGCUUUGCCUGCGGUUAGUGAAAAGGUUUUCUAAAAAGAAUUUUGAGCCAAAACUUCUUGGGUUUGACGAUCAUCUUGACAAAGGGCAACAGCUAAAGUUUGGAAGGACGCUUCCAAAUGUUGACCAGAUCGUAGAGCUUCCGAUUGAUAAUCAAAUUUAUGAUAUGGUUGAUGCUGAAGGAUCUGAGGGUUUGCCUGCUAUGACGGUGUGUGAGAGGCUUGGGAUUGAUAAGAAAAGGAGCUAUUCUCGAUUCUUUAACAUGUUCUCUAGGUUUGGGAUGCACCUGCAAGCUGAAAGCCAUAAAAAGACUACAGCAUAUCGAGUUUGGACUUCUGGGAAUGCUAAUCCUAAAUCGUCUAAUGCAUUUUUGAUUAAACCAAAAAAUCCCCAUGAUGAAAAUGAGAUCUCUAAUUUUGAUGUUGGCAAUUCAGAAGUUCCUGAUGGAUCAAACCAAAACUUUAUAGAGGAUGAUCCUUCAACUUCCGCAGGCAAUUUUUCUACUCCUAUGAAAGUGAAUGAUAUGGAGAACGGUACUGAAACCGCUUGUGGGUCCUUUGCAGAAACUAAUCAUAUUGUUGUAUAUUCUGACAACAUGCAAGAGUUGCCCACUGAACAAAGUAAUACUGCCUUUGAUGCAGAACUUGAUUUAGUGAGUGCAGAGAGUGAAAUACAUCCUACUCCACCAAAAUCAACCUGUUGUGCUUUGUUGAAGCCUCCUGAUUCUGGCUCACGUCAGAGAUAUGCAUGUCAAGUUCUUACUGCUGAUGGUGCUCGAAGAGAGCAGAGGAUACUCGAACGUUUGCAGGAUGAGAAGUUCAUAUUAAGACCUGAAUUGUAUCGAUGGCUUGUGGAACUUGAGAAGGACAAGAGCACAAAAAUGGACAGGAAGACAGUUGAUCGAAUGCUAAAGAAGCUUCAGCAACAAGGGCACUGCAAAUGCAUACACAUCAAUGUGCCUGUUGUCACGAACUGUGGGCGAAGCCGUAUUACUCAGGUGGUUCUGCACCCAUCUGUUGAAAGUUUACAUCCAGAGUUGCUUAGCGAAAUUCAUGACAGAUUGAGAUCAUUUGAAAUGCAAAUUCGUGGCCAUGGAUCAUCUAAGUGGAAAAACAAUGAUACAGUAGCUGUAUUAGAUGGUGUCCAGAGAACUCAGAGCCAUGUUAUUUCAGAUGCCAAAGCUUCUAAGUCAGAAGCUAUGCGUGCUAAUGGUUUUGUGAUGGCAAAAAUGGUUCGCUCAAAGCUGCUACAUGGUUUUUUAUGGGGUUUCUUGCAUAGUUCUCAUGGAUGGAAUGGUGCCUUAUCACUUGAGAAACACCUGCUUGAUCAGAAAAAUCUUCAUGGCUCAUGCAUUUUGUUUUCAUUGGAAGCAGCCAUCAAGGCCAUUCCUCUUGAACUUUUCUUGCAAAUUGUGGGAACUACUCUAAAGUUUGAUGAUAUGAUUGAGAAGUGUAAGAAAGGCUUUUGUCUUUCUGAUCUUCCCAUUCAUGAGUAUAAGCUUCUAAUGGAUACUCAGGCAACUGGAAGACUUUCAUUGCUCAUUGACAUCCUACGGCGCUUGAAGUUGAUUCGGCUGGUGCCAUGUGAAUGUUCGGAUAACAGAGUAAAGGUACCACAUGCCAAUUUGACUCAUGCUAUGGAGUUUAAACCUUACAUAGAGGAACCACUGUCAUUGGUUGCCACAUCUACUUUUAGAUCUUUUGAUCUUCGUCCUAGAAUCAGGCAUGAUUUUAUCUUGUCAAGUAAAGAAGCUGUUGAUGACUAUUGGAAAACUUUGGAAUAUUGUUAUGCAGCUGCUGAUCCAAGAGCUGCCUUGCAUGCAUUCCCCGGAUCUGCUGUUCACGAGGUCUUCCUUAACAGGUCAUGGGCCUCAGUUCGAGUUAUGACAGCUGAUCAGCGUGCUCAGCUUCUAAAGCGAAUUUUGAAGGAUAAUAUAAAUGAAAAGCUUUCAUAUAAAGACUGCGAAAAGAUUGCAAAGGAUCUUAAUCUGACCUUAGAGCAGGUGCUUCGUGUGUAUUAUGAUAAGCACCAAAAACGUCUUAAUAGAUUUCUGGGUCUUCCAAAUAGCAUUGAGGACCAGCAUCAAUUAGAAAGAAAUAAACGGUCCUCUGCUCGGAAAAGAAAGAGAUCUUCAAAGAUGGCAUUGGUGGAGAGUACAAGAGUUGAUACAAGAACCAUACAAAUGGACGAACAGGAAGUUGCUGCAAUACCUGAUAGUAGUGAUGGAUUCACCAUGAAAGAAAACGAUUCUUUAGCUUCUUCAGUAGGACCUGAGGUCUUGCAAGCACAUCAGGAAGCUGAUCAUGUUGAAGCUGUGAACAAGCCAGGAUCACUUGAAGAAGAUGACGAUUGUUAUUCCUUAAUUAGCCAGUAUGCCUUUCCAAAAAUGAAGCCUACACGUAAGAAAAGAUUCUCAUGGACAGAUGAAGCAGACAGGGAAUUGGUAACCCAAUAUGCAAGAUACCGGGCUGCUCUAGGGGCAAAAUUUCACCGUGUAGAUUGGACUUCAAUUGCUGGCCUUCCAGCACCUCCUCGUGCUUGUGCAAGAAGAAUGACAUCCCUUAAAAGAAGUAUAAAAUUUAGGAAAGCAUUAAUGAAACUAUGCAAUAUGCUUAGUGAACGGUAUGUGACGCAUCUUGAGAAAAAUCAAAAUAGGGCAUUCAACUAUAAUGAUUGCAGAUUUCUUGUCCGAUCUUCAUCAGUUGAGUUCUCCAGUGGCAUUGAACAUGGUGAAGAUGCAGGCUUUGAGGAAGAAAGAUGGGAUGAUUUUGAUGACCGAAAGAUAAGGAGGGCUCUGGAGGAUGUUCUUCGGUUUAAACAGAUUGCUAAAUUGGAGGACUCUAAAAGGGUUGGAUCUGUAUCUGCUGAGUGGUCGAAUAUGAACAUGAAUUCAGAGGAUUAUAAUCUACAGGGACCUGAAAUGGUUUCACAAACUACCCUAGGUGAGGAUAUGGGGACUGGCGCUGGGCAACUUAAAGGCUCUAUUCAAAGCUCAAGACACCAUCGCUUUCAUCAAAAGUUAGUUAAGCUUUGGAAUAUCGGAAAUGGUGUUGGCAGACAUGUACAUGAAUCUUUGGCUGUUUCUAAUGCUGUUGAACUAUUUAAGCUUGUUUUCCUGAGCACAUCUACAGCAGCACCAUUUCCAAAUUUGCUGGCAGAAACUUUGCGGCGUUAUUCAGAGCAUGAUCUUUUUGCAGCUUUUAGCUACCUCAGAGAUAGAAAAAUUAUGAUUGGCGGUACUUGCGGCCAACCUUUUGUACUUUCUCAACAGUUCUUGCACAGUAUUUCUAAGUCUCCAUUUCCUCGCAAUACAGGAAGGAGAGCAGCUAAUUUUUCUGCUUGGCUUCAUCAAAGAGAAAAAGAUCUUAUGCAAGGGGGGAUUAAUCUUACUGAAGAUUUGCAAUGUGGUGAUAUUUUCCAUUUAUAUUCUUUGGUUUCUUCUGGUGAACUUUCUGUUUCCCCAUCCUUACCUGAUGAAGGUGUUGGAGAAGCUGAAGACUUGAGAAGCUUAAAAUGUAGGGGUGAGGAUAGUGAAUUAUGUGAUGCUGAUAAGGCUAAGAAAUUAAAAUCCAUAGCAGAAGGUGAAUUUGUUUCACGACGAGAAAAGGGUUUUCCUGGUAUCAUGGUAUCUGUGUAUAGCUCAACAGUUUCCACAGCUAAUGCUUUAGAAUUGUUUAAGGAUGAGGAGACUUGCACCCUUGGAUUCAGGAAUGAUGAAACCCCAAGUCAGAAGGUUAACAUUAGUUCAACUAAUUCUGACUAUAUGAAGGAAAUGCUUCAGUUUGGAAGUAAUGUCAUCAUAGCCUCCAAGUCUAGUGAGUCACCUUGGGAAGCUAUGGCUAGUUAUGCUGAGCAUCUCUUGUCAAAACCUUCUGAUGAAGGGCAAAGCAGUCACUUUUAUCCUGAGAUCAUCAAGGCUGUUUGUGCUGAAAUUCAGAAGGCUGGUGACCAAGGUUUGAGCAUAGAAGAUGUUUAUGGUAUUGUCAAUUUGCCAGGAGAAAUGACGCCUGAAAUCAUCAUUGAUACACUCCAAGCAUUUGGAAGAGCUUUGAAGGUCAAUGGUUAUGAAGCUGUUCGUGUUGUUGAUGCUUUAUAUCAUUCUAAGUAUUUUCUUGCUUCAAGUUCUUGUUUCCAUCAAAAUCAUAAACCACCUUCAUCAUUGACAUCCCAAGGAAAGGAUGAUGGCAACUUGAUCCUUCAGCAAGGAAAUCAGAGUCUUGAUACUGCUAACUUAUCGGGAAGUGUAACUGUUGGUGAUGUGCACAAAGUUACUAUUCUUAAUCUUCCUGAAGAGCAUGCCUUACCUUCGAAGGAAAUUCCUACUAGCAAUGUGAAUGAGAGCUGCAUGGCAGGUAAAGUUGGUUCAUCAGAAGGGGAUAAUGAGGAUGAAACUUAUAAGCCUUCUUUAGGUGAACCAUUGGUGCCUAUAUUGCCUUGGAUAAAUGCAGAUGGGACCAUCAACAGGAUGGUCUACAAUGGACUUAUCCGCCGUGUUCUUGGUAUUGUCAUGCAAAAUCCUGGGAUAUCAGAGGAGGAUAUUAUCUGCCGAAUGGAUGUGUUAAACCCCCAGAGCUGUAGAAAGUUGCUGGAAUUAAUGAUAUGGGACAAACACCUCAUGGUGAAGAAGAUGCUUCAAAUGACAGAUAGUGGUCCUCCUGCCCUUUUGGCGACCCUUCUUGGGAAUAGCUGUAGAAAAUCAAAGUUGGUAUUUCGCAAACAUUUCUUUGGAAAUCCUACAAGUACAUUUUUGCUGUAGGAAUGCUGUUUUUGUUUUGUGUAAAUAUUAUAUACCAUAGGUCCAGAGCUGCAGUUAGAAGCUGCAAUUUUGUUUGCUUGUCAUCCCAUUGAAGCAGCUGCACUCUAAACAAUGCUGAAUAGGAGUAACUCAUCUUGAAUCUACAAGUUAUAUACUGAUAGUAUGUAGGCUACAUUGUUGACUAUGCAGGGAAAAGAUUGCAAUCAAUAUGGCAUAUCUCAUAAGCUUGCAAUGGCAUGGAGUUGUCAGCAGUGUCCCAACCUUUAGCAAGCUAUAUAUGUGGGUAUUAAAGGCAUUGUUUGUCAAACCUGCAUAACAGUGCCUUUUUGCACUUCUGCUUCUCCUCUCUCUUUCUCUCUCUCCAGUUAGCUACUGUUGAUGCUCUAACUUUCUAUUGCUGGAAAGCCAUUAUUGUUAGUGAAGUCAAGUAUAUGUCAUUGCGUGGAAAAGGGCAUAGGAAUUGCCGUGAGAUUACUUGUUUACAAGGAAGGAAUCUUCCAAGCGUACGAACCGAAGCAUAAAUGAGACUUUCAAGUACUCUUGAUGUUUAGUCCAGGGCACUUGACCUGUGAACUUUUUAGUAGAUGCUAGUGAUUUCCCUUGAACUUUUAACUUUUCCCUAGGAGGGAGCAUUUUUGCUUACAAUUCUCUAAUCAUAUAGAUUCAUCAUUUUAUAAUUGUGAGUUUUACAUAAU